GACCUCAAAUCCGGAGCAGCCCACC
rnacentral:rRNA from 1 species